GGGAAGGGGCGGCUCUCGAGUAGCCGGUAGAGCUCGGCGUACUCGCCCCGCUGGAAGGCCACCAGGGCCCGCGCGCGCAACACCGGGUCGCUGCCACGUAGGCGCUCGGCCGGGGGCAGUGCGCCCAGGAAGCGGCUCAAGCGGCCGGCGUGGCCCGCCUGGAGCAGCGCCUCGCAGACGCACGCCACCUGCUCGGGCGAGAAGCGGAGGCCCGUGGGCGGUUCGGAAGCGGCCUCGGGGGGCGACCCGGGGACGCCCGGGGAUCCCGGGCCCUCAGCUCCCGCAGCCGCUGCGCCCGCCCCGGCCCCGGCCGCCGCCGCCGCCUCACCCUCGGCCGCCUGCAAAGUCUGCAAGAGCUGGCGCGCUUCCUCCUCCUCCUCUUCGGUCGCCGCCGCCGCCGCCACCGCCUCCCCCCCAGCCGCCGGCCCCGCGCUCGGCUCCGCAGGCAAGGUGUCUAUACACGCCCCGCGGAGCAGACGGCCCACCUCCUCCCGGUCCUCCGGGGAAGGGGACACAUGAGGGACUCACCUGUGGCUCCCUCUGCCUGCAGCAACUCCAUCCGCUCCUGCAACUGCCGGACGUGUGCCUCUAGGUCCCGGUUCCGAGCCUCUGCCUCGCGUAGUUGACUGUGGGGAGGUAAGGACGGUGAGUCCGUCCGGGCCGGACGAGAGGGGAUGCCAAGGGUUGCCACCGGCCCGCAUCCCGGCCCCGGCCCCGGCCCCGAUCCCGACCUGGCGAAGUUCUGGUUGUCCGUGCGGAUGGCCUCCAUCUCCCGGCUCAGGCUCUGCCGGGUGAGCACCUCCUCCUCCAGGGCUUCCUGGAGCUCCCGCAGCGUCACCUCGGCCUCAGCCUCUGCCGCAGGGACAGCCGCUGGAACUGCCACUUCAGCCUGUGUAUGGGGACCAGGCUUAAGGCUGCCUGUGGCUCCUGGAAGACUCAGGACUUGGGCACUGGUUCCAGGCUAGGAAUCCUUGUUUAUCCCCUACUCCUCCGUCCCCUCAACAUUUCUGGAAUCCCCAUAGCUCCUGCAAUGAUCCAAGCCCCCUCCCUUCCCUACCUCCCUCAGCCCCAUCCCUGAGUCUGGUCCUCUAAAUCUACACAGGGACCAGAGGGCUGGUGCUCAAACACUAACACAACCUAUGUCCCUCUGCUGCUCAAAAUCCCUCCAGCUCCCUAAUGCCCUCACGACAAAAGGCCUUGCUGGGUUUUGUUUCCUGCUGGCCUCUCCAGCCUUCUCAGGAAUGAUUCAGCCAAACUACCUUUCAGGAACAAAUCAGGAUUCCCACCUGCCCAAGGCCUUUGCCCUGGAGGCUCUCGCCUGACCACUUGGCACCUUUCCUUCCAUGGCUUGUUUCUCCUUCACCAGCGCUCAGCUCAAAGAUCGACUUCUCAGAUCCCCAGCAACACACACACCCUUACUUAAUGCCCCACUGUAACUACAGAGACCGUCCCAUGUCUGAAGUAACCUCGUCUCUCCGUGGUUUCUGUCUGCUUCUGUUCAGGAAGUCCCUAGAGGGCUCUACAGUGCACGCCACCCGGGAAGCCCUCACCUUUUCUCUCCCAAUUGUCCCUGACGGACCCCCUCCCCUCCACCAACUUACUGUUUCAUCCUGUGGGGACACCGAGGGCUCCAGGCUGGGCGCUUGCACGUGUGGCUCAAGCAGCUGCUCGGCCUCCAGUUCCAUGGGUGUGGGGCCUGGGACCUCACUGUCCCUGGGGAGAGGAGGAGGGAGUGGGGAGGGAGACAGAAUGCUGAUUCUCUGGUGGAGAACCAGAACUUCUGGCCUGUGGGUAGGGGCAGCUGCUUCCAAGACCUCCUGAUUUGAGGAAGGGGAGCAGCAGAGCGAAGAGAACAGAGUCCCAGGUAGGCCAAUAGCCCCUCCUCUGCUUAGGAAAAGCCCUGCCCCUCUCCUGGCCUUGGGCCCCUGGGAGCUGCUCUUUCUAAACCUUCUGCAGGGACUUGGGGUCCAGACCCCCAUGUUCUAGGGUCAGCUCAUCUCCUCCCUUGACAUGUGACCGCUGCAGACCCCUCUUCUCAGGGCCUCAGGACAGGGAGGCCGACCUGAUGGGGAGACUGCUUGGCUCUGGCCACCUCCACAGAUGUGGUCCUAAGACUGGGCAUGGGACCCCAAGAUGGCAACUUGAGGUCAGCACACCCCACUCAGCUGUGGGAAGGGGACAGCUCCUCCCUGGGGUAUGAAGUGGCUGUCCCCUCCAACCCAGCAGUCCCUCCUGUGGGAACACGGCUCAGGACCUAGCUAUCCUGGACAUGCGCCUGGGUUCUAAUAGAGGAUGGGUUCAAUCCUGACCCACCGUUCAGGCCCCGCAGCGGUUCAGAAUCAAGCUGGAGUUCAUUAAUGAUAAGGUAUAGUAUGUGUAAUGUUGUCCAGUAAUAAAAGCUGACUAGAAAACCAACUGUUCUCUUAGACAAAGUAGCAUGAGGAAGGGGAAAAAAACAAACCAAAAAAACACCUGUUCUCCACUAUUUAAACAUGUGUCAGUACACGUGUGAGCCAGGGACCACUGCCAUCUGGUGAGCUCACGAGAUAUCAACUUCCUUUUCCUUAUCUGUAUUUUCUAAUUUACUUGUGAUAAGCAAUGCAUUAUUUGUGUAAUUAAUACUUUUGUUGAGACCAGGUCUCACUUUGUUGCCUAGGCUGGAAUCUAUCAUGGCUCACUGAAGCCUCAAACUCCAGGCUCAAGUGAUUCUCCUACUUCAGACUCCUGAGUAGCUAGGACUGCAGGCACAGACCACCAUGCCUGGCACGAUUUUUUCAAUUUUUUGUAGAGACAGGGUCUCAUUAUGUUGCUCAGGCUGGUCUUGAACUCCUGGGCUGAAGCAAUCCGUCCACUUCAGCCUCCCAAAGUGCUGGGAUUCCAAGCGUGAGCCACCAUGCCCAGCCUGUAAAUUAGUACUUUUUUUUUUUUUUUUUUGAGAUGAAGUUUCACUCUUGUUGCCCAGGCUGGAAUGCAAUGGCACGAUCUCAGCUCACCACAACCUCCCCCUCCUGGGUUCUGAUUCUCCUGCCUCAGCCUCCUGAGUAGCUGGGAUUACAGGUAUAUGCCACCACGCCUGGCUAAUUUUGUUUUUUAGUAGAGAUGAGGUUUCUCCACGUUGGUCAGGCUGGUCUCGAACUCCUGACCUCAGGUGAUCCACCCACCUCAUCCUCCCAAAGCACUGGAAUUACAGGCGUGAGCCACCACACCCGGCCUAAAUAAAUACUUUUUUUUUUUUUUUUUUGAGACGGAGUCUUGCUCUGUCGCCCAGGCUGGAGUGCAGUGGCAUGAUCUCGGCUCACUGCAAGCUCCGCCUCCCGGGUUCAUGCCAUUCUCCUGCCUCGCCUCCCAAGUAGCUGGGACCGCAAGCGCCCGCCACCAUGCCCGGCUAAUUUUUUUGUAUUUUUAGUAGAGACGGGGUUUCACCGUGUUAGCCAGGAUGGUCUCGAUCUCCUGACCUCAUGAUCCACCUGCCUUGGCCUCCCAAAGUGCUAGGAUUACAGGCGUGAGCCACCGCGGCCCGCCUAAAUUAAUACUUUUAAAUGGCCUUAUUGUUAUAUGGCUGAUUCAAAGAAUUUGCAUUCUUUUACAACUGAUUGUAAAAGUCUAAACUUCAUAUUUUCCAAGUUCUGAAGUCCUGUGGCUCUGUGUACUACAGACGUAAAAGUUAAUGGUUACAAGAUUCUGGGAAGCCCAGUCUGUGACUCUGAGGUUUUAAAAUUCAAUCUAACAUUUUGAAGUACAUAGAUCUGAAAAUUUAAGGUCCUCCAACUCUGGCCUCUUAGGAGUCUUUGGGCCCAAAACAGUAAGGUUCCAAGACUGAUCCUGCAACUCCAUUGGCUGCCAAGGAGCAGGACCCAGGAAGCUCAAGCAGCCUCGUGGCCCCUGGAGGCCGUCCAGGGCAGUGCUUACCUGAGGGCCAUGCAGGAGUAGGAGUAGCCCACAAAAGGCAGGUGGACCCCUAGCGGCGCACCUUCCCGAAUGUCCGACAGUGUCUCCUGCGCAAGACACACAGAUGUGAGCAGCAGUCGUCAGGGCGGGCCCCUCACUGCUUUUUGAUCUUGGCUUACAUGUUCCCCCCAAACCAGCCCCAACUCAGGGCUUAUCUAAAGUGGCCCCUCCAGCAUUUUUUCUUUUUUCUUUUUCUUUGAUACGGAGUCUCGCUCUGUUACCCAGGCUGGAGUGCAGUGGUGCAAUCUCAGCUCACUGCAACCUCCGCCUCCCAGGUUCAGGCGAUUCUCCUGCCUCAGCGUCCUGAGUAGCUGAGAUUACAGGCGCCCUCUACCACGCCUGGCUAAUUUUUUAUAUUUUUGGUAGAGACGGGGUUUCGCCACGCUGGCCAGGCUGGUCUCCAUCUUCUGACCUCAAGUGAUCCGCCUACCUCAGCUGUUGUAGUCCCAAACUCUGGGCUCAAGCAGUCCUCCAACCUCAGCCUCCCAAAGUGCUGGGAUUACAAAUAUAAGCCACUGUGCCCAGCCCAGUUCUGUUUUUUUUUUUUAGAUGGAGUCUUGCUGUCUCCCAGCCUAGAGUGCAGUGGCACAACCCCAGCCCACUGCAAACUCUGCCUCCCAGGUUCAAUCAAGCGAUUCUCCUGCCUCAGCCUCCUGAGUAGCUGGCAUUACAGGCAUACGCCACCAAGCCUGGCUAAAUUUUGUAUUUUUAGUAGACACAGGGUUUCACCAUGUUGGCCAGGCUGGUCUUGAACUCCUGACUUCCAGUGAUCUGCCUGCCUCAGCCUCCCAAAGUUCUGGGAUUACAGGCGUGAACCACCUUGCCCAACCCUUUUUUUUUUUUUUUUUUUUGAGACAGAGUCUCACUCUGUCACCCAGACUGGAGUGUAGUGGCAUGAUCUUGGCUCACUGCAAACUCUGCCUCCCAGGUUCAAGCAAUUCUCCUGCCUCAGCUUCCCCAGUAACUGGAAUUACAGGCACCCGAGACCACACCCAGCUAAUUUUCUUGUAUUUUUAGUAGAGACGGGGUUUCACCGUGUUGGCCAGCCUAGUCUCAAAACUCCUGAUCUCAUGACCCACCGGCCUUGGACUCCCAAAGUGCUGGGAUUACAGGCAUGAGCCACAGCGCCCGGCCGCGGUCCAGCCUAUUUUUU
rnacentral:lncRNA from 1 species